CCCUGAAGUGUGUACUGUGCGACCGAAGGAGCGGCUCACAACCGUGACCGAGCGGAGUUCCUCAGUCUCUCCUGGCCAUGGGGCCACGGAGCCGCGAGCGUCGGGCGGGAGCAGUACAGAGCACCAACGACAGCAGCGCCCUCAGCAAGAGUUCCCUGGCGGCGCGCGGGUAUGUCCAAGACGCCUUUACAGCCUUGCUGGUCCCGGGCGCCGCGCGCCGCGCGCCACUCAUUCACCGAGGAUACUACGUCCGCGCACGCGCCGUACGGCACUGCGUGCGCGCCUUCCUGGAGCGGACGUGCGCGCCCCCUGACGGGUGUAGCGCUCAGAUCCUGUCCCUUGGCGCCGGCUCCGACUCGCUGUAUUUUCGCCUCAAAAGUGCUGGCCACCUGGCUCGGGCUGCAGUCUGGGAGGUGGAUUUCCCGGACGUGGCGCGGCGCAAGGCGGAGAGGAUUGGCGAGACCCCGGAACUGUGCGCGUUGACCGGGCCUUUCCAGAAGGGGGACCCCGCGUCAGCGCUGUGCUUUGAGAGCUCGGACUACCGCAUCCUGGGGCUGGACCUGCGGCAGCUCGAGCGGUUGGACGAGGCCCUGGCCGCCGCGGGCCUUGACGCGGUCUCACCCACCCUGCUCCUGGCCGAGGCCGUGCUGACCUACCUGGAGCCAGGUAGUGCUGCGGCCCUCAUCGCCUGGGCAGCCCAGCGUUUUCCUAAUGCCAUUUUCGUGGUCUAUGAGCAGAUGAAGCCUCAAGACGCCUUUGGCCAGUUCAUGCUGCAACAUUUUCGGCAGCUAAAUUCUCCCCUGCAUGGCCUGGACCACUUUCCUGACGUGGAGGCCCAGCGGCGCCGCUUUCUUCAAGCUGGCUGGACUGCCUGCAGUGCUGUGGACAUGAAUGAAUUCUAUCGCCGCUUUCUCCCUGCAGAAGAACGCCGGCGGAUGGAAAAUCUUGAACCCUUUGACGAGUUUGAGGAGUGGCAUCUGAAGUGCGCCCAUUAUUUCAUUCUGGCAGCUUCCAGGGGAGACACCCUCUCUCAACCUCUCAUGUUUCCAUCAUCGGAGGCCUUUCCUCGGAUAGAUCCUAUUUCCUCUUCAGGGGUCUUUCCUGCUAGUGUAGUUACUAGUGACAGCCAGGGCCCAAACCUUAAGAGAUACGGCCACGCCUCUGUCCUUUUGAGCCCGGACAUUAUUCUCAGUGCAGGAGGGUUUGGAGAGCAGGAAGGGCGGCACUGCCGAGUGAGCAAGCUUCACUUGCUCUCAAGAUAUUGUGACUUUGAAUGGAAAGGCAGCCAAGUAUGCAGUCCUGGGACUGAAAUUCAGUGGGAUGGACGCCUUUAUCACACCAUGACAAGACUUUCAGAUACUCAGGUUUUGGUUCUGGGAGGGAGGCUAUCCCCAAUAAGUCCAGCCUUGGGGUUUCUCCAACUUCAUUUUUGUAAGAGUGAGGAUAAUCGCACUGAGGACCUGAUGGUGACAUUAACAAAUGCUGGCCUAAAAGAAGAUUUCACUUUGUCACGUUGGCGGCAUUCAGCAACAGAAGUGUCUUAUCAGAAUCAGAAAUAUUUAUUUGUGUAUGGGGGUCGAAGUGUGGUGGAACCUGUACUAAGUGACUGGCAUUUCCUACAUGUAGAAACGAUGGCUUGGAUCAUGAUCCCAGUGAAGGGGGAAGCACCUGAAGCUCGGCAUUCCCACAGUGCCUGCAGUUGGCAAGGGGGAGCCCUUAUUGCUGGAGGUCUCGGGGCUUCUGAGGAGGUGUUGAACUCUGUACUGUUUCUGAGACCAAUCUCCUGUGGAUUCCUCUGGGAAUCAAUAGACAUCCAGCCUCCCAUUACCCCACGGUAUUCUCACACAGCUCAUGUGCUCAAUGGAAAGCUUCUGCUUGUCGGAGGGGUCUGGAUUCAUUCCUCCUCAGUUCCUGGAGUGACUGUUAUCGAUUUGACUACAGGCUUGAGCUCUGAGUAUCAGAUUGACACAACAUGUGUGCCAUGGCCAUUAAUGUUACACAACCAUACUAGCGUCCUUCUUCCUGAAGAGCAACAGCUCCUGCUCCUUGGAGGAGGCCAUGAGGCUGGAGUACAAAAGAAAGAAGAUAAAACAUAUGAGAAGGACCUUCUAGACAGGAAUGGGAGAUGAAAGCCCCCCUGGUCCUGGAAGAGAGAGAGAAAAAAGAAAUUAUGGCAAGACUUGAGAUAAGAGUAUCCUGGUUUUCUACCCUUUUACCUCCACCUCUGAAGUAAGUGGUGGUUGAAACAUCCAGAUGGAUUUAGUUAACUCCAAAUUCAGGGCUUUUUUCUCAAUUUUAACGGAAAAGUCUGGGAAUACUAUAAACCUCUCAGAGAAGCUCCAUAUUAAACAUGCCACAAGAACAAUAUGGGGCCACCUGGGAGGUAGAUUAGAAAUUGCUAAGGAUAUGAGGAUCUCAAGUAGCACAACAGUUUCCUACUGCCUGUGUGUGGCAUGUAAUGGAACUAGAAGUUCCUUCAUAACCAGCACAACACAGAAAUACUGAACUACCCAGCAGACCAACAGAGGCCUGGAGUCAGGCUAAGAAAAGCCACAGGGCAGGGGAGGGACAAUGGACUUCAGCAGAAAAAAGAAGGAUUCAGCAUGAGUUUCAGAGAACAAGAUGGCCCCACCUGAACCUCAGCAGAGACCAACAGAGGACAUGGCAGGACCAGACAAGACCACAGGAUAUCCAAGACCAGACUGGAGCCAGAGAUCUGUGCUCCCAGCCCCUGCGAGGAUAUAUGAGGAAAUGGAAGCACAAGGAAGUUAAGUGAUGGGCCCGAUGUCACGUGGGUAUAAAGGGUAGUGCCAGGCAUCAAACCCAGGAUGUCUGGUGAUGGAGCACAGGAUCCUAACUAGCCUGCUUCACCAUGAUGCAGCAACAGGGCCGCCUGGCUCCUGACCACAGGGGAAAGGAGGUGGAAGAAUCAGAGAUCACUUCAAGAUCUCCAGCUGUGGAGAUUAGAAAAAGGUAAUGCCACUGACAGAGAUGGGUAGUUGGAAAGGAGAGAUAGUUUAAGAGGAAAUGAAUUCACAGAAAAUGAAUAUGGUUUGGGAUAUGCUGAAUAUAUCAACAUGGCAUGCACACAUCCAUUUCCUGAGGACUAGGAUGGAAUGUAAUGGGACACAAAU